GGAUGGGGGGGUGAUGCUCCCACAGGUCGAGGGCUGCAAAUUCUGAGAGCGCUAAACUUCAUUCUUCCUUCUCCUUUUCUUGAUCCUCCCUUGUCCCUGCUCUUCUUCCUCCUCUCGCUCCUCCUCUCCCAUCCCUCCUUCUCUUUCCCCCAGGACCAGCGACACACUGGGUCCCCCGUUCCCGAGCCCCUCGCAGCCCGCGGGAGCAGCGGGGAUGGAGCCGGGACAGAGCAACUGGGGUCACACUUUUGGCUACUGGGAGCAACUGAGAGAAACUGGGAUCAUUCUGCAAGCAAACUGGAGUCUCCCCACGGUGCAGGUGGUUUCCAGCUGUGACCUCCUGUCCCACGGAGCGUCCAUGGAUCCCACUGGCACGGCUACGAUGGGUGGGAUUUCAUCUCCUUCCAGCUGGGAUCCGGGAGCUUUGCAGUGUCUGACGGUGCCACCUGGAUCCCCCAGAGGUGCUGGGAAUCCAAAGGGAUCCUGCCAGAGCAGAUGAAGCAUUACCUGGGACACACCUGUGUGGAAGAGCUCCCAAAAUACAUCGGAUGUGGUUGAGAGGCUCUGGAGCACAAAGCCAUCUUCUGCUCAGGCAGCUCCUUUUCCUUCUCCUUUUGUUGUCUAUAAACGGUUCUCAGUGACAAUAUUUGCCUUGUUUGGUUCCAUUCCCUUCCCGACCAUCCAUUUUUAAAAGAACUCCUCUCAGUUCCCCACAGUGGAACACGACACCCCCUCUCUCCACUGUGUCUUUCGCUGGAUCACAGCCUCCUCCAGGUAUCCACCUACUCCGGUGUGAGCACCUCCGCCCUGGGCUGUGGGUUGAUUACUGCAUCCCUCGUGGAUCCCCAGGGGCUGCUUCACCAUGCUCAUCAGCACGGCCUGCAGAGGAAUCUCAGCGCCAGAGCCUGGAGGAAAUCAGGGGGGAUGGGGAGGCAGAGGUUAAAUGAUUUGCUAAGAAGUUGUUUGUUAGAAGCAAUGCAUACCGCUUGCCCAACACUUAUUGUGCCUACCAAAACAGGAUGAGAAGAUAUGAGACUAUUGAUAGAGGGAAGGAAUCUUGACCAAAGAUCCUGUUUUUAACCUAAAACUAACUCAAACCAGUCUUGAAGUUUAGACGUGGGCCAGGGACAUAAAGAGCAGGCGCAGGGAAGCAAGGUGAAAAGUUCAGGAUGAGGAAGACCCUUUACUUCAUCUGAGGAAGACUUAUUUCAUCCCGGAGACCCCUGCCUAUGACCACCAGACAACACUGCGCAAGCACAACGCGGAUGUAAAUAGCUUUUGGGAUCACUGUAAUAUGAGGCGAGGCUAGGCGGGGCUAGGUAAUGAAUAUGUAUAGGUGUAUUGGGAAACUCAAUGAAUAUGGAACUUGUAACCCGAUAAAUACCAAGCUGAAUGCAGCUGCCGGCACGCGUGACUUUGGAGGAAUUAUCCCCAUGUGUCCCAGCGCUGGAAUAAACAUACCUACUUUACUACUUAUUCCAGUAGUGGAGUCUUCUCCGCUCAUCAUUUUGGCGAGCCGGCGGGAGGAACUCUGUCCGGCUGCAGGAUUGGCUGAGGAGUGAACGUCCGAGGCGUGCCCCAGGGCUUUCCUGGAGGAACUCCGCCCCUCGGCUCGCUCACUGUGGGGCAAACAACCUGCUGGGACUGCGGAUAAACAGUAUGUUCUGGAUUUAGGAUGCCUGUAAGUCGUACGCGUGGCCAGGGCUGCUGGUAAGAUGCGAGGAGACGUCCCGUGCACAGCGUAGUCCCUGUGUGGGUAAAGGUGAGGCUUGCAAGCAGCCAGCUACGGGAGCUGGGAAAGGCACCCGGCUAUGGGAGCCGACAAGAAGAAUCGCCAACCGAUACAGCGGCUGCUAGCGAUCCUGAGAGCAGAUCGGGUGAUUCCGCCAGAACUUGUUGAUGACUGUAUUGGGGAAAAUAUAAGCAGGACCCUGAAGUUAUUACAAGUGAGUGUUAUGAAUAUUUUGGCUACUAGUAGCUGGUUUGAGUGUUGUGUUGCUUAUAUGUCUUUUGGAUAUUGGUUGUUAUUGGACUGCUUUUAUAUUAGCUCGCCUAUUUGUUUGUAGAUCGGAGAUGUGUAUGUUGCCGUGUGUUGUUUGAGCAUGUUGUAUUGAAACAUUUGUUUGGAGCGAUGCUAGAUUAUUGAUUUUUGUGCUAAUAGAAUUAGAAUUGUUGCUAGGCAAGAAGUUAGAAGAACCCCUCUCCCUUAGUGGUUUGGUCUUGAUUCUUGGGAAUUUGUAAAUCCGAUAAAACAUUGGAUGGAGAGGAGAGGCAAACGAGUUCCUUUAGAGGGAAUAUACAGAACCUCAGCAGGAAGAUUAGUAACUUUAGACUGAGAACAACCAGUGGCAGAGGAUUUAGGUUUUGAAAGAAUACAUGGAAUGUGGUGAUGCGAUACCUUUAUUGUAUUUUUAUAUAUGUUUUCUGUACCCCGAUGGUUCAUCCCUACCUUCCCCACUCCUAUUCCCAGUUGGUUUGCCCCAGACCCAAGACUCUCCCCUGGUGCUCCCUACAUGGUUGUUCUCCUCCCCUUGUUCUAGCUCUUUCCCUAUCAAUCACCCAAACCCCUCCUGUUGUUCCCGAAGGUUCAGUGUCCAUCACCUGAAACCUCCCAGUUUACCCUUAUAUGGUCCUCAUCAAUCCCCCGGGACCCUACCCCUUUGGUUACCUCCCCCUUUGGAAAUCCCCUAAACCUUGAGGCCCCAUUGGGGCAUGUGAUCCCUUUCCCUCCUCCCCUUGAGGCUAUUGGCCCAGGGAAAUGUCUAUCCUCGUUCAUAUCCCUCCCUUAGAGAUUUCUAUUGGUCCCCUGUUAAGCCAUCCCCAUUGUAACACCUCCCUUUAUAAGAUGUCCCCCGGAGCUGUUCUGGGCUUGUCUCCUGUGAGUUGCCUCCAAUAAACUUGGAUUACCCCCUGUG